rnacentral:lncRNA from 1 species
CACGACAUGGCAAAAGAUUCAUUAAAGUCAGGGCUUGUCAAUAUAAGUGAACUAGAGCAUGGAUUUCUCAACACCUGGAUGCUCACCUACCACGUAACCUUUCUUUGAGAUACCAUAAACAAACUUUGUUUACUUUCAGUUCCUUGAAUAAACUCGUGGUAAGCAUCAUGGUUAUGAAUAAGCUAGACCAUCAAGAGGAUUUAAUUCCAGUGAUUAAUAAUGUCUUCUAUGAAGAAGGAUUACUUAUAUAUACUCUGGAACGUAGAUGAAAUACUAUCAACAAAUGGAACCCUCAAAUAUUAACCUUCAGGAGCCUUUCCUUUGUACAGAGGAAAUAGGUCAACUCAAGAAAUUAUGUGUCAUUCCUGGCGAUAUCUACAAUGAAGUUAUCUGUUAUAGGAUCAUUCAGUAUUCCGAUAAUUUCGAAUAGGAAUUUAAGGAAUUGAUCUCUUCUGCAUUGGUUACAUGGGAAUAUGAAUACUGCAGUCCCUAUUUUUCCGUCUAAAUUCGUAUCUGACUCAAAAGUAUUUGGAAUCGAAUGCACGAGGACUAGGAAAAGAUGGACUUUACUAGAAUACUGGUCUCUACUCUUAAUGCAAAACUCCUUUUUUAAGUUUCUCAAUCUCUUAAGAAUCUCUUUAAUUUAGGAUACCCUAGUAGACAUGUUUAAAUAAAAAUUUAGAAGAAGU